ensembl:lncRNA
GAGGAGAUACCCCUCGUCCAAAGUAAGGAGCAGCGGCUGUGCUUUGCUGGAGCAGCUGUGAAGAGAUACCCCACAUCCAAGGCUGGGCCCCAGUGGUGACAGAUGCAGGAGAGGGGAAGUGCCCCCUCGCUGCUCCCCAGUUGGCUGUCCCUCAAGUUCCUCCUGCAGUGGCAAUUCUUUGAUCACAUGGGCACUUUCUAUGAGGAAACUACUCCACCCAAGUGGAAACUGUGAUGAGCUUUCCCGAGGAGGCACAGAGAAGUGGGGCUUCUCCAAGGAUGAUGGCAAGGUGCACCCACCAGCCUGUGAAGGAAAUGGAUCACUGGUGACCCUGGGCCAUUGGUAUCAAGAAGUUAACAAGGUUUGCUUUGGGACAUGGGAUGGAGUCACAUGCAUCUCUUCUUGCCCUCACCUCUAAUUUCCACCACGGCCUCUUCAUGUCAUCCUGGGACUGCACAGGAAGUGCCUGGGUGGGAAGCAGAGAGCAGGG